CAACGUUUAUGUCUUAAAAAAACAAAAAAAAUUUAUCUAAAAUGGCGCUUUUGUUAAUCUCGAUUCUCUUCAGCGAACCUCUUCCCUGAUGGCUUGGUAUGGAUCCAAAAAAUCAAAGCCGAUCUGAAACAAUCAAAGGUAUAUCCUUGUGAAAUCGUCCGAUUUGAUGGCUUACCUGCAUAAAGAUGGAGAUCUACCAUAAAAGCACUUCAACAGAUCCGUAAAGGUGUGUAGCACUUUGACUUGGAUCAACCAUGUCCAUUUCCAUGGCCUAACCUCAUCAAGCGAAAUAAUAUGGAUUGGUGACGUUACGAUCAGCUAAAAUGAUUUGGUUGAACGACAAAAGAGAAAUGAGGCAUGUUUGUUGGAAGAAAAAGGAUAUCGUGGAAAUAUAUAAUUUAAUUAAAAGCAUAUGUUUAAAUAUAGCCAGUGGCAUAAGGUUGUAAAUACUUUUGAACUUAAAGGGCACCUCAAAAAAGACCCUUCAGUUUUAAUAGUAUUGAUAGUACAUAAAAUAAAUUGUUUGAAAAUAUUUAUUAUGUACCUUAAUUAUUUUAACUGAUUUUAUUAGAUGUAAAUA